rnacentral:rRNA from 1 species
UACGGAGGGGGCUAGCGUUGUUCGGAAUUACUGGGCGUAAAGCGCACGUAGGCGGCUUUGUAAGUUAGAGGUGAAAGCCCGGGGCUCAACUCCGGAAUUGCCUUUAAGACUGCAUCGCUAGAAUUGUGGAGAGGUAAGUGGAAUUCCGAGUGUAGAGGUGAAAUUCGUAGAUAUUCGGAAGAACACCAGUGGCGAAGGCGACUUACUGGACACAUAUUGACACUGAGGUGCGAAAGCGUGGGGAGCAAACAGG